rnacentral:lncRNA from 1 species
UUGGAACCUGUUAUUGAACAUGGUCCCCCUUAUAUCUCCUUUCACAGGACAGAAUUGGAGAGUGAAAAUGGGGACAAGUCACAAGAAUGUUUUACUCCUGGAUGUAAACCUCUCUACCUUGGCUGUUCCUAGUCAACAGUUGUCCAUUGUGAUAAUGUUCUAUUCUGUUGACAGUAUCCCCCAGUUCCCUCCUUUGGGGUACUUCUGGGGACUUUAUCAGCCGUUGAGCAAGACCAGAAACACCCUGGAAGUGGUUUAACUCUACUCUACUUGUGCGCAAUUGUGUAAUGCUACCUUCUUAGCCAGCCACUUGACCUCACACCGCCCAACUAUGAGAUGAUGCUCUGCGCUUCUGACAUGACUGCACCUUAUUACUCACUUGGACCAUUACUGACAGACUCCCGCCUACGGGCUUGCCAUGCAAUCUGGCAGCCACAUCAAGAAACAACAGGAAUCAGAGUCACAAUUAUCUCUUGCUUUAUUCUUAAAGAAAGGAAAGGAGUCAGACCAUUAAAAAUAUGAUACGUAUUGUAUUUUAGUAUGCUUGCUAGUUGCCAAUUACCUGCUCAGAAAUUGGGCUUAUGCAAGCACUAUUCAAAAGUAAAUUGGCUUGGUGCAUGACUGACCUCAGAUCAUUUCAUGAGAUAGUAGCAAUAAAAGCUUCCAUUUAUUGAAAGCCA